GAUGACGUCAGGUAACCGCUUUUAAAAUGGCAUCGGAUAAAUGAAAUAUUACGAAAUUUAAUAAAAAAUUGCGCUGUCGGUCAAUCGGAAAAUUCGUCGGAAAAUACUCGACGAACGAGAGGAAGGAUUUGUUCUAGUUUUGGGGGGUGGCGAGGUAAAGAUGACGUUCGAUUAUAGAAAAUCUCGCUUCUAACCCCUCGUGGAGAAUGGAAACCGAAGAUGGAGAGUGGUAGGGAGUCUGUCGAUCCCAAUCCGUCGUCACUCGGGGGAUAGAAACGUAAAAAUUGCCGAUAUUUAGCCUUAAAAUUCAAAAAGAACCCAUGACGUCAAUCGCAUUCGAAUUCGUUAGGCGCUUUCUAAUCUCCAUAGAAACGGCAACAAUUGCCGUUUCUAUGGAAACGCGUAUUGUUGCAACACGAUUUUGCGUCACUUUGCACGUUUUUCGCUUGCCGGACGGACGUGUGCGCUCUGUGCUCUGGUUUUUGCUGUGUUUUUUGCUUUUUUCAGUGUUUUUUGCUACCGGAACGUGGUUUUAAGAAGACUUGUGGACGCCGACAUUACACCAAGUAAGAUUUUAAUUAGAAUUUAGCUAGCUUUAAGAUUUUAUUUUCGUUUCGUUUAGUGCAACUUCGGAGACGACAUCGGCCGACUCGGACUUUGCAUAUUUGCGUUUAAAUCUGCCGUCGCUUGUGUUUUUCGUUCGAAUUACCAUCCGAAACGCAUCUAUUUCGACUUUUAAACCAGCCGCCACAUUCGAAAGCGACCGAAUCGCCGAAAACGACGGAUGCAAAGGAUUAAGUAUUUGUUUAUUGGUUUAUUUUCGUAAUUAAUUAAUUUAGAUUAUAUUUUAUAAAAAGGUCAAAGAAUAAGAUAUUUGCAAAUAAUCCUUAUAGAAAUUUAAUUAAAACUUAUUUAAUACUGACUUUAAAUACGAAUUCCAUCGUAAAGCGUAUCGUAAUUUUAAGUAAAAUACACUCUCGAAAUAUUGUCCGAUGGACGGAGACCGUAUUCUGAAGCAUGGGAUGUUCCUUCGACGGGCAAAAAUUUCGCCCUUUAACCUCCGACUUCUCCAUUGAAUCUAUGUAUUAGUUACAAUGCUUUUCAAUGGCUUACUUUGCGAGAAUUAUCUUGUCUGCAGCUAAAACACAUCUAAUACACUUAACAGUUAUCUAUACAGGCUUGACACAAAGAAUUCUUUUUCUUAAGCUGUUUGUCUCUUUUCACAAUGUGGUCAUUUCUGAGUGCAGUCCAUCUUCCACACUUACGUAACCCUCUGUAAAUGCUUUGUGCCACUUAAACGUUCGUGUCCCGAAUUGCGAGUUCGGCUGUUGACACGUUUCGCUUCUUCGUACAGUACGUUUGUGUUGUGUUUUCUUCGACUCGUUCGAAAUUUCUUUGCACGAAACUCUUUUAAAUGCCGUCGUUGCGUUUAUGUGACGUACCGUUUGUAUGCACGUUAGGGUAAAUUGCUCUAGAACGAAACACUUGUUACGACUUGGGCUCGAGAUCGAGUACGAGUGCCUUUUUCGCAUGGCUACGUGCGGCGUGUUUUUAAUUUUCUGUCGUACAAAUACAAAUUACACGUAAGAGAGUUUCUUGGUUCUGGGUCGGUCGUCUCUACUGUAAAUAUAGUUUGAACUUUCUAGCAAUUUCCGGUAGGAUCUAACGCGAGCUAUCCGAAUUCCGAUCCGUCAAUGAAGAGCUGGCGGUUUUGGCGUUGGCUGCGGCCCAAGAAGAUGAAGAAGUGUGAAGGGCGUUCUCCUUCCGCAAUCGAUGAAGAGAGGGUCUUUUCCCCCUUUGAGCGGGGAGAGGAACUCUCUUCCAUCGAUUGCGGAAGGGGUUCUUCCUUCACGGGAUCGCCUUCGGGAAUAGCGGAUGUCGACAGCAUUCUCUGUUCCGCGUUGAACGGAGAGGAGACAUUUCGCCAUUCGGACGUGUUCCGAAAGGUGAAAUGUCUCCAUGUUGACGACAUCAUCUUUGACGCACUGGGAGGGGAGGAAUGUUUCGAUCAUUCCUCCCUUUUCCAACGAGUGGGAUCCUCUCGUUCGGUGUGGGCAAAGAUGGAAAGGAAAAAGCGUCGCUUCGUAAGAGAAGUGAACGACUUUUUCCUUUGCUAUUUCUGAAGGAUAUUACUAACCUAGGAUAAGAAGGCAAGAGGUUUUUUUCGUUUGUUUUUUCCUCUUGUCAUACUAACAACAUUUAAAUUUAAGGUUUUAGUUUCAAUUUACUAACGUAGGAUAAGAAGGCAAGAGGUUUUUUUCGUUUGUUUUUUCCUCUUGUCAU
rnacentral:misc_RNA from 1 species